rnacentral:siRNA from 1 species
AGGCCCUGUUUGUUUGUCCAUCCA